rnacentral:rRNA from 1 species
UACAGAGGUCCCAAGCGUUGUUCGGAUUCACUGGGCGUAAAGGGUGCGUAGGCGGUCGGGUAAGUCUGAUGUGAAAUCUCACAGCUUAACUGUGAAACUGCAUUGGAUACUAUCCGGCUCGAGGAAUGGAGGGGGAGACUGGAAUACUUGGUGUAGCAGUGAAAUGCGUAGAUAUCAAGUGGAACACCAGUGGCGAAGGCGAGUCUCUGGACAUUUCCUGACGCUGAGGCACGAAAGCCCAGGGGGAGCAAAACGGG